rnacentral:lncRNA from 1 species
GGUGACGCUGGUCUUCCAGGGGAAGCAGCUGACAUGAAGAACAUUGAAGUCAUGUUUGAAGACUAUGGCAUAAGGCUGCCCUUGCUGAAGGCACUGAUUGACAGGCUGCUGCAGGACGGCAUGGUGGAGCUUCUGCAGGACCUAACCACCUCUAGGAGAGUCAAUGAGAAGGAGAAACACGGCUCCAACAUUAUCACUGACUACACAAGAACUGUAAAGUAUGAGAUCUCCAAGGAGCCUCUGACAGAGAUGGACACCAUAGAGGAGGCAGUUGACUCUGACUUAGACAGACAGCUACCAGAACCUAACUCUGAUGCUUUGGAUGAAACGGCGGAGGCCCCCACAUUCUGGAGCCUCACCACUCUUAAUGGUCUUAAAGGGGUCCAAGACGUGGGGAGGAUAGAGAGCACCUCUAAGGGGACAGAGGGGACACUGACAGUGGACGAGGAGUUCAGUGAAGCUCCCUCGCCCAAGUUGACUUUAUCAAACUCAACAUUUAACAACACUACGUCUGAAGAGAGGGUCUCUGAGGUACCAGGGGCAAUAGUAGAAACUGUUCUCCUCAGUGGGGAAGACUCCUUGAAGAAAAAGAAGAGUCGAGAACGGAAGAUGAGUACGGAGGAGGAGGAGGAGGAAUUAUACGAUGGGGAAGAGUACAGUUAUGAAUAUGAGGAUUCCACAGAUGAUCCCUUACUGUCAAUGGAAAAUCAAGGGGAGUUUGAAAUCACAACAGAAAGCACACUACAUGGAAUGAGCAAAGAGAGUGGCCUGACAACUUUAGGUCCAUAUCCAUCCCAGUCACCGGGUGACAGUGAAAAGAAGGGGGAAUUCAUCACACCUAUCCUUCCCAGCACAACAGAAGAAACAGAGAAGGACCUUUCCUAAAUCCACAAAGAUUGAGACUGUAGAUUUGUAAGCACGGAGUGUUUGUAUAAACUGUGAAGUGAAGUGUAUCGCUGGUGAGGAGCAGUCUACCCUUAACCUGACCAGCAUAACAUGAGGAGGGACUUCGCUUCGUCGCGCAAUGAUGAUGUCAUUUGUCCAAUGUCACUCGUCCAAUGCCACUUCUAUGACCAGAAUCGUUUCUUAUACUUAGUCCAAGUACCUAAAAGAUGAACAAUACAUAGGUAAAGCUAAGUUAAAUCAAGACAGUGUAUUAUAUAACGAUUAUUCGACUAAUAAAUUCUUCCAUCAGAUGUCAG